CUUUUUAACAGGUCCUGUAUGGAAACUGACACCCUAAACCAAAAGAACCCAUAUAAAGGGUGGUGGAGGGAGUCCCAUCCCUUAGAAGACUGAUGCACGCUACCAAGCAAAGCGAGGACUUCCUGUAUUCCCCGGAUCUUUCAGUGAGGAGUUCUGCUCAAAUAAGGCAUAAUACAAAAAUAAUGGCGACUGACAGAAACCUUGGUUACAUCUUUCAAGGCUCUCAAGCUGGUGACACGUAUAAAAUGAAGAUGAGCAUCUUAGCAGGUGGUAGAACGUGAACGAGCAUGGGCAACCGGCAACCACAGAAGCGAGACAACCUAGAGCUUCAGUAAUGCUAAAAUUAUCCACCACCCGGGAGAUUAUUAUUAACAGAAAGGUACCAACAAAGGGCCAAAUGGAACUGUUGAAAACAAGCCCAAUCUUGUUUCUGCUUUUCAAAUGAAAUAGGAUGUGGCAUCUAUAUUUAAGCAAGAAAUGUCUAUGGGGAGAUUUUGUUGUAUGUUAUUGGAUUGGGCUGUCAAGGAAGCAUCCU